GGGAACAUGCCUUUAGGUACGGAACAACCAAGGGAAACUUUGGCUAAUACCGUAUAAUAUCUCUGGAUCAAAGAUUUAUCGCCUAAAGAUUGGCCCGCGUUAGAUUAGGUAGUUGGUGGGGUAAUGGCCUACCAAGCCGACGAUCUAUAGGGGGUCUGAGAGGAUGAUCCCCCACACUGGAACUGAGACACGGUCCAGACUCCUACGGGAGGCAGCAGUAAGGAAUAUUGGACAAUGGGCGAAAGCCUGAUCCAGCCAUGCCGCGUGAGUGAUGAAGGCCUUAGGGUUGUAAAGCUCUUUUAGAUGGGAAGAUAAUGACUGUACCAUCAGAAUAAGCCCCGGCUAAAUUCGUGCCAGCAGCCGCGGUAAUACGAAUGGGGCAAGCGUUGUUCGGAAUCACUGGGCGUAAAGCGUGUGUAGGCGGUUUAACAAGUCAGGAGUGAAAUCCCAGGGCUCAACCCUGGAAUUGCUCUUGAAACUGUUAAGCUAGAGUCCCGGAGAGGUUAGCAGAAUUCCGAGU
rnacentral:rRNA from 1 species